GGGGGAACCCACUAUCUUUAGUCGGAUAGUAUCCUUACGUGAAUACAUAGCGUAAGGAAGGCAGACCCAGGGAACUGAAACAUCUAAGUACCUGGAGGAAGAGAAAGAAAAAUCGAUUUCCUGAGUAGCGGCGAGCGAAACGGAAAGAGCCCAAACCAAGAAGCUUGCUUCUUGGGGUUGUAGGACACUCUAUACGGAGUUACAAAAGAAAGUUAUAAAUGAAGCGGUCUGGAAAGGCCCGCCAAAGACGGUAACAGCCCGGUAGUUGAAAUGGCUUUCCCUCCAGAGUGGAUCCUGAGUACGGCGGAACACGUGAAAUUCCGUCGGAAUCCGGGAGGACCAUCUCCCAAGGCUAAAUACUCCCUAGUGACCGAUAGUGAACCAGUACCGUGAGGGAAAGGUGAAAAGCACCCCGGAAGGGGAGUGAAACAGUUCCUGAAACCGUGUGCCUACAAGUAGUUAGAGCCCGUUAAUGGGUGAUAGCGUGCCUUU
rnacentral:rRNA from 1 species